AUUGAACGCUGGCGGAAUACUUUACACAUGCAGGUCGAACGGCAGCACGGACUUCGGUCUGGUGGCGAGUGGCGAACGGGUGAGUAAUGUAUCGGAACGUGCCCAGUCGUGGGGGAUAACGUAGUGAAAAUUACGCUAAUACCGCAUACGAUCUAUGGAUGAAAGCGGGGGAUCGCAAGACCUCGCGCGAUUGGAGCGGCCGAUAUCAGAUUAGGUAGUUGGUGGGGUAAAGGCCCACCAAGCCAACGAUCUGUAGAUGGUCUGAGAGGACGACCAGCCACACUGGAACUGAGACACGGUCCAGACUCCUACGGGAGGCAGCAGUGGGGAAUUUUGGACAAUGGGCGAAAGCCUGAUCCAGCCAUUCCGCGUGCAGGAUGAAGGCCCUCGGGUUGUAAACUGCUUUUGUACAGAACGAAAAGGUUUCUACUAAUACUAGGAGCUCAUGACGGUACUGUAAGAAUAAGCACCGGCUAACUACGUGCCAGCAGCCGCCGCGG
rnacentral:rRNA from 1 species